AGUUCCCUCUGUAUGCAGAAUAUUGUGCAACAUGGUUAUGGGUACUACAGUGGAUAGUAGACUUUGAGUCUUUGCUUCAGAUGCAGAUCAAGAUGUGGCAACCUGUUGUGGAGAACUGGGUCCCUUGAGCCUGUGCUGUCUCUUUUUUUCUGGUGGCUUUGUCAUUUGGAACAAUGCAUAAUGGGCUGGAGGCUGAGAAACUCUGAGCUGAGGGCAAGUAGAGCUGCAGCUGUCUGGCGCCACUGUAAUGCUGUCUCCUCCUCUGAGUGAGUUCAUCCUGGAAACAUUUUCUCCCAUAAGACAUGCACAGGUCUUACGUUUACAUGUUUCACUGAAAGAAAUUUGAUUCCACUGCUGGGAUGACAAGGAAGACUGAAGAAACCUAAUCCUAGGUGCUGCCACUGGGACAAACAAGAAGCACCAGACACAGUGCUGUUUUAGGGUGGGGCAGAAUUAUGCUGAGGGAAAAGUUAUUAUCACUCUUUAAGGCCAAGGAAACCACAAUUUUUAAAGAAGCUUCUAGAAAUUCUACCCAGUAGAAAAUAAAGAUAAACUUCUGUAA
rnacentral:lncRNA from 1 species